rnacentral:rRNA from 1 species
UACGUAGGGUGCAAGCGUUAAUCGGAAUUACUGGGCGUAAAGCGUGCGCAGGCGGUUCUAUAAGGAAGAUGUGAAAUCCCCGGGCUCAACCUGGGAACUGCAUUUGUGACUGUAGAGCUGGAGUGCGGCAGAGGGGGAGGGAAUUCCGCGUGUAGCAGUGAAAUGCGUAGAUAUGCGGAGGAACACCGAUGGCGAAGGCAAUCCCCUGGGCCUGCACUGACGCUCAUGCACGAAAGCGUGGGGAGCAAACAGG